CAGCAGCCGCGGGAAUACGUAGGUGGCAAGCGUUGUCCGGAAUUAUUGGGCGUAAAGGGCUCGCAGGCGGUUUCUUAAGUCUGAUGUGAAAGCCCCCGGCUCAACCGGGGAAGGUCAUUGGAAACUGGGAAACUUGAGUGCAGAAGAGGAGAGUGGAAUUCCACGUGUAGCGGUGAAAUGCGUAGAGAUGUGGAGGAACACCGGUGGCGAAGGCGACUCUCUGGUCUGUAACUGACGCUGAGGAGCGAAAGCGUGGGGAGCGAACAGGAUUAGAUACCCGAGUAGUCCCUGUCUCUUAUAC
rnacentral:rRNA from 1 species